AUAAUUUGGGCAACCCUACUCCUUCCAAGACUCCAAUUUUUUACAAUAUAUAUUCAAAAUCCAUAAAACAACUCUAAAAACUCCACAACUUUACAAUCCAAUAACAACCUAAGAAGAACCCAUCAGUUAUCUCCCGAGAAACCCUUGAAAUCUCGGUUGAAACAAGACCGAUCUGCUCAAAAGCUUUGAUCUUUCCAACAGUUCAAAGCUCCUGUACCAAAAUUCAAG
rnacentral:misc_RNA from 1 species